rnacentral:tRNA from 1 species
CUGGCUGUGUCAAGUGGGACGACGCAACCUUGCCAAGGUUGAAGCGCGAGUCCGAUUCUCGCCAGCCAGA